rnacentral:tRNA from 1 species
GCUUAAUUAGUAUAUACAGUAUUAUAGACUUCCAAUCUGUAGGACCGAACGCCUGGAUUAAGCA